GUUAUAAAACAGGUGCACAAGUCCUUUCCAAAUGUGGAAUCAGUCUGGACUGAGGCAUUGCAGUUGGUUGGAGGAAAAGCCUUAAGAACUACUGCAAUGUAAGCAGUUUGGUGCUUAUGUUAUAAAAAAAAGUGCUCUGUACUUAAAAAUCAAGCAGAAAUUAUUAUAUUUAUUUUUUUGAUCUCUUUAUGGUCUGUGUUAAGAGGUUAUUGCUUUUCUAACUAUACAAAAUAUUUUAAGUUAGAAUUCAAUAUAAGUCUUUAUAAAAAUCACUAUUAGAGCUAGGUUGCGCCAACAGAAAUUAAGAUAAUCCAAGUAAAUCCAUGAACACCAGAAUUUAACAAAAUCUGGUUUUCUGCAGCUUCCUUCUGUGGAGGUUUUAUAACGUCUAAAACUGUGGCUGAGUUCUUGUUAGACCCCCUUUUCAGUGGAGCUGUUGGAGUGUUUGUCUCUAGGCAGUUGUUACCUAUAGAGCAAUCUGCUUAAACCCACAACCAAUAUCUCAGGGCUAGAAUUCUUCAUUCUACUUACCUGGCACUGUUGUUGCUCUUCUGGGAGGCAAUGACAUGGCUUGAAGUGCUCAUUUUUGCCAUGGAUCUUUGCAUUUAUGUUAUCAUUGCUGCCAUUAGAGAGUCAUCAAUCCUCCAGGUUUCUCAGGAAGACUUCAUGUUCCAGAUCUGAACUGUUCAUGCUUGAACUUCACGGAUUUAAUAUUGUAAAAUACAAAUGAGCAACCUU